rnacentral:sRNA from 1 species
GAGGCCAGUAUUGGAUCAUGUUGUAAA